GAUGAAGAACGUAGCGAAAUGCGAUAAGUAGUGUGAAUUGCAGAAUUCAGUGAAUCAUCGAAUCUUUGAACGCACAUUGCGCCCUUUGGUAUUCCUUAGGGCAUGUCUGUUCGAGCGUCAUCUAAACCUUCAAGCCCUGCUUGGUGUUGGGUGCCUGUCCCGCCUCCGCGCGUGGACUCACCUCAAAUCCAUUGGCGGCCCCCGCGUCGGCCACGAGCGCAGCAGAAACGCGAACUCGUGAGCCCGUCCGGGCGGCUCCCAGAAGCUAACCCCCAAUUUUUGACCUCGGAUCAGGUAGGGAUACCCGCUGAACUUAAGCAUAUCAAUAAGCGGAGGA
rnacentral:misc_RNA from 1 species